rnacentral:lncRNA from 1 species
UUACACACUACAAUGGAUCAAACUUUAUUUAAGAUCGUUAUACGCUUGAAUUCUAAGCUUUAUUCAUAAUUUGGAUGUUCCAACAUCUUCCUAGCUUAGAUCAGUACUACCCCUUCAUCAUCAGAAAACAUAGAAAUCCUGCAUAUAUGUAAUAAAAACAAAACGUCAGAUGAAACAAGCAAGCAAAUUAAAUAAUUGUCUGCUGGAGAAUUUGAAUAUAUAGUACAAAUUAAAUAAAUCAGUUACUUGUUGCAGUUGUAGGUUUUAUCAGUAGGAGGCAUGGUAUAAGAAAUGCCACACUUGUUAGGGAGUCCAGCUACGCGAGAGUGAAUGUCUUCGUUAUCAAGAGUCCAGAAUAUUUUCUUAAAGCAGUAACAGAGAACAAUUCUAUCUACUCUUGAUUUUGCAAGUUUGGAUAGGAUAUCUACACCAGUACAACAAGCAUCUGUUGGACUUGGACCAUCACCUCCCUUCAUAAUGUAUAACAAGCAUGGAUCUAGCUUGAGAGCAGCUUCUAUACACAACGAAACAGGAUCGACAGGAGCAGCACCCAACACAUAACUACUUAUUAGUAGGGCUAAAGAGAGAAACACAAGAAAACGAGCCAUUUGUGUGUCUGUGUACUUUUUCUCCAAUUGUUGGGAAAAUGAGUGACUUAUAUUACCCUAUUUUUCAGCCUCUAAUUAGCUGCCUCCGGUUGUUGUGAAAAUGAGUGACAUAUACAUAUACUAGAAAUCAAAGUCCGUGACUCACCCAAUCAUAAAUUUAUAAAUUUAUUUAUAUGUAACUAAAAAAUUAACAUAUUCUACGACGUUUGUGUUAUAGUGCAUGUAUUUUCUUUAUUUAAAGUUUAUCUAAUUUUUUUCUCGAAAGAAAUACUAUCUAAUAGCUACACCCUUGUUCACUUUCAAGCUUGUUUAGUUUGGACGUUGCAUGUAUUUUGAGAAAUAAUUAAUGAUUGACAAUUAUAUUUUAUCAUAAUAUUCAUCUGAUGACACAAAUAUUAAAAUAUAAUAUUAUUGAUAUGAUUCAAUCAAUUGACCUAUUUAUUAAAAAUUAAAUAAAAAAGAAUAAAAAUUAUUUGACAGAAAUCUACUGCUAAAUACUAUAUUGUGGAUAUUAUUGUGUUAUACAGAUGUACAAAAGUCUUUCUCUACAAAAGAGUAAUAGAAAAGAGAUCUAUUCCAACAAGAAUAAACCUAAUAGUAAAGAGAUUCUAUUCAACAAGAAAAUCUUUUUCUAUCAAAGAAAUAAUAAUUAUAAUUAUAAUAAAAAAUUAAAUAAAAUAAAAAAAUUAGAACAAAUCCUCACAAAAACAUUCACUUGAAAAUUAGCUAACUUGAAUAACUCAUCUUAGGAGAACCCAUUUCAUAACUAGUGCAGCAACUUCAAAAAGCUGUAAAUUCAGAAAGAAAGUAAAAGGGCCCACAAUUCUGAAAAAGUAUACUUCUUUUCGUCUAGAAAAUAAAGCAAAUGUUUGUUGAUUUUUUACUCCAAACAUUGAAAAGGUAUUAUAACAACACUCAUUUGGUAUAAUAGCCUCAAAGCUAAUAAUAAUGAAAUAUCUAAAUAGCUCCUACGUGAAAAGCAGGCAUGACGAUCUUAAGUUAAUAAUAAUGAAAUACCCAAAUAGCCUCUACGUGGAAAGCAGACAUGACAAUCUUAAGCUAAUAAUAAUAAAUUACUCAAAUAGCCUCUACGUGAAAAGCAGGCAUGACGACCUUAAGGUGUGUCAAACCUCUUAUAGAAUUGCCCUAUUUUUCAGCCUCUAAUUAGCCAUCUGUUGUAAAAAUAAUUUUUUGCUUUUGUUUUUGUGUGCAUACUGUCUCUGAAAAUGAGUGACUUAUACAGAGAGGAUUUACCUCCUUUUCAUUUCCUUUCUUUCAUUUUCCCAACUGCUUGCUUAGAUAAAGGAUUAGAGACAUGAAUUAAAUUUAAUUGACUAAAGCAAAUUUUUAAUCAUAAUUUAGAAAAUACGUAUAUUAUAUAUUUAGUUUUAAAAAUUGUUAUAAUCCCUCAGUCUUAACACUAUAUUAUCUUAUUUAUAACUAUUUUUUUUAAAAAAGAAAAAAAACUCUUCCUUCCUUUACUUUUUCUUGCUUGAAGGGUAUGUUGGCAAACUCGGCGGAUUACAAGCAAAUGACUUCGGUGAUGAACGACUAUAAAAUGGGCCAGCCUUUGAUGUUGAUGAAAUCAAUUGUUGUUAUUUUAUAAUACGAUAAAUGAUGGAAACACCUUAAAGGAACAUUAUUGACUUCUGGCAUUGCAAAAAGGAACCGUUGAAUUAUUUUGAAGAUUAAGCGGUUAACACUCAUUAAAAUACAUGCAUGAAACUAGCGAACUUGACAUUAAUUAGCACCAUGUAUUUUGAUUGCUUGACAUUCUUUUGAUCCAUUUGCAUAUCCUCGGCUGCCAUAAUUAUUUCAGACGGCUAUUACGAUAUAUCCAUGAAUAUUUUUGACUAAAAAUAAAAAAUAUAUAAUAUUAUAUCAACAAAUAUUUGAUAACUAACACACCAGUAACUGCUUAAACAAAAUAAAGUCAACAAAGGUCAGCAUUAAAAAAUAUCAACUUAACUAAAAUUCUCAAUAAAAUCUCAUCUAAAUUUCUCGCAACAUUCAAAUUAAUGGCAGGUUCAUCAAAAGAUGAACUUCAUAUGUUAUCCUCAUCUUAUGGUACUAAAAAAUAGGUAUGGUAUACAGAUCUAUAAAUUUAUAAAUAUCUAAUAGAUAGAGAUAAAAAUAUGAUAUUUGUCAGAUAACUAGAUGCAUAAUAUAUAAUAUAUUGUUAUAAUAAGACCAUAAGAUGAGAAUACCAUAUGAAAUUCAUCUUUUGAUGAAUCUGCCAUUAAUUUGAUGGUUGUGUAAUACAACACUAACCUGUACGUUAGUGAUUAAAUAGGUGUCAACAUAAAUCAAACAGUAUUACAUUGAGCAACGUCACCUUCAUCAAUCUCACAAGAUUUACGUACUUAUUGUAGUAGUAUAAACUUAAUUAAAAAAAUUAGAAACUCGUGCUGAUAAUGUGUUAUGAAAUAUAAAAAAAGAACAAGAAGAAUAAAUAGAGAGAGAAGAGGGAGACUUCAUUAUUUCUCUUGAUGGAUGAAACAUAAGAGAUUGAUCAUACAAUGAACAAAAUCCCUUUAUUUAUAGGAAAAAAUACUUCUAGUUUCUGACGAAAAGACAGAUACUUCAAAUCCUGAUAGAUUUAUGCCUAUGACACCUUUAUAUGGAUGAGGCGAAAAGACAGAUACUUCAAAUCCUGAUAGAUUUAUACCUAAGAUGCAUUUAUAUGGAUGAGACAUUAAGUUUGAAUAUCAAUGCACCAUAUUGAUGAUAUUAUAAUGUCUAAGGCAAAAUAAUGUGUUUUUGAUGAAAAGUCAAGAAACUUGUCCAUUGAAUAUGCUCCAUUCCAUGAAGUGAAUGUUGUAGCAAUAUAUGACAAGUCUGAAAUAUGACAACUUACUUCAUUCUUGAAGUGAAUGUGGUAGCAACGCAUAAUAUAUCUGAAAGAAGAUAAGUGAUUGAAUGCAUGAAUAUACGCGGGGAGGGACAAUAUGAUAAUGAUCAUCAAAAGUGAAGAUAUUUUCACACGCAUAUUAUGAUCAUAAGAUAUGUUAGAGAAAAAUUCUCUGCGUCAUAUGUAUACCUCGAUUUGCUCCUGAAAUAGCGAUAUCUUGAAAGAGGUUCUAAGCUAUCAUAAUUUGAUAGGCUUAAGGCACAAUUAUAUUCCAUCCCUGGGGAAUGAAAAACUUAUUAAUGCAAACGUGCACUUAAUUGUGAUGGUAUCACAACUCACCUCCGAAAGAGGUAAAGUAAUUGAGGGGAGUUACUUUGAAAUCUACUUCUGAAGUAGUAAAUCUGAAAAUUAUUUAUGUAAUAGUAAAUCUGAAAUUUACUAAAGUAAAAGGUACAUGUCAUGGUAAACUUGGAGUUUGCUAGAAUAAAAAUUCAUAAAUUGACAUGAACAAUUGCGACAUUCCAAAGAUGUGCAUACUGAGUAUUGAACUUAUAUUGAAGAAUUGAAAAAUUCUUCAUUACUUUUAACGUUUUUUGUUCUCAUGAUAAAUUGGUUGGACCAACUAAUAUUGAGAUUGGAUCCAUUAAAUCUAAAAAUAUAAAAGGUGAAUAUGAAUCUCUUCACCUGUCAUGUGAUCUAUUAAGAUGCAUCGAUAUAAGAUGAUCAUUUGUACGUUUAUUGUCAACCUGUAUUUUGACAUUCAUAAAGUUACUUGCUCAAUAAAAUUGAGUUAAGAACAUAAUUUUUAGAUUGUGUAAUCAAGAAAAUUCAUCUUGAUGAUGAUGAUUUGGAAUUGAAUGCCUUCAAUAAAUAGCUAAACUAUUGCUAAUGAGAACAAAGCUUCAUGUGGUCUGAAAUAUGAUAUGUUGCAUACAAUAGCACUUGUAUGCAUUAGACCAAUCGAUUAUGAUUAUUUCUUUCCUCUCAAUUGGUUCAAGGUCAUGAACGAAAUAUUCCAUCUAAAAUUUUUUAAUGUGCGGUAUACGAUUAAUGAAUAUAUCUUGAUGCACAAAGAUAGAUUCCUCAAAGAAGAUGGAUGAUGUAUGUUAGUUUUGCUAACAUCAGGGGGAGAUUAUAAGAAGCUAUUAAGUAUGUUAGGAAUUAUCAUCAGAUCCUCAUUCAAAAGAUAAUUCAAGUCAAAUGUCGAACGCAAGUGCUCCUAUUUUGUGUUCAUAAAGGACAAAAUCUACGCAUGCGUAAAGCGUGGUAGACCAAUCGAUUCCAAAUUAAAUAAUCCUUGAAAAGAAUAAGGAGUAAAUGAUCAUAAUAAGAAGACAAUAUGCUCUUGAAGAGCCUAUGAUAUAACACUUCAUGAAACCUUAUGAGAGGUUCAGGUACCUGAAAAUAAUGAAGUGAUGAGAUCUCAAAAUGUUAUGUCGCAUUGUGAACCGCUACGAAAUGAUAUAUCAUCAAUAUCUUUGACAUAAUAUUGGUGCAAUAUUGUGAAAAAUUAUGAGGAUCUGAAUUCUACAUUUAUUUAAGCAUGCUGACGUAGAAAUAUUUAUCAAGUGACAUGAAAGGGUGCAUCUUGGUAAGUGAAAACUUAUUUGAUUUGCACUCCACACACUUGAAGAUGUCACACAUGAAAUAUUGAAUAUUGUCACUUGACAAAAUAUAUCUUGCAAAUACUAUAAGACCUGAUAAAGCCUUUUCGAUUAAUUUGUUAGCAAGGUAUAGUUUUGCUCCUACUAGGAGACAUCGAAAUGGGAUCAAACACAUGAUCUUAUAUUAUUCCAAAGAUUGUAGUCUCGAUCUUGUUGAUUAUGCUGAUGUUGGGUAUCUAUCUGAUCCACAUAAAUUUCGAUCUCAAAUAUGUAAUGUGUUCACAUGUGGGAAUACUGUCAUAUCUUGGAGAUGUACAAAAUAGUCUAUCUAGCCGCUUCAUUGAACCAUGAUGAGAUAAUAACUAUUCAUGAAACUAGCCGAAAAUGUGUAUGGUUGAGGUCCAUGAUACAUCUCUUUCGAGAAAAAUAUGGUUUGAAAUGUGACAAUGUAUCCACAGUUUUAUACAUAGAUAAUGCAACAUGCAUAGCACAUCUUAAUGGAGGAUUCAUAAAAGGAGAUAGAACGAAGCACAUGUCGCCAUAGCUUUUCUAUACACACGAGCUACAAAGGAAUGAUGAUAUUAACGUACAACAAAUUCGUUCAAGUGGCUAUGUGGCUAAUUUAUUUACCUAGUCUCUUUCAACUGCAACUUUCAAGAAGAUAAUGCAGAAGAUCGGGAUGGAAAGGCUCAAGAAUAUUCUCAUUAGGGGGAGUUAAUACACGUUCUGCUCUUUUUCCCUUUCAAGGUUUUGUCCCACUGGAUUUUCCUAUUUUUAAUGAAGCAGCCUAUAUGCGUAUUGUUAGAGAUGUGUACUCUUUUUUUUUUACUAUAUUUUUUUUCUUACUGAGUUUUUUUCUAAUUAGGUUUUAACGAGGCACAUUAUAUAUCUAGACAUUCAAGGGGAGUGUUAUAAAUGUAUUUACAUUAUAUUGAAUGUCUAUCAAGAUCUAUCUAUCAAGAUCUAGUUGAUAUGUAUCAGGAUUUAAAGUAUCUGUCUUUUAGUCAGAAACUAGAAGUAUUUUUUCUUAUAAAUAAAGGAAUUUUGUUCAUUGCAUGAUGAAUCUCUUAUCUUUCCCCUAUCAAGUUGACAACCUAUGCUUGUUUGGAUGAUACCUUAAAUAACAAAUUGAUUAAGUACAACUAUCUUUAUCCAUAGAAUUCUAAAAGAUAUUAUUACUAUGAAAAAAGGUUUUUUUUUUUUAAAAUAAAUGAGAAUUGGAAAAAGGCAAUUCAAGAAUAAAACCAAGAACCACAAAUUACCAUGUAUACCUGGCUGGCCGAACAUGGGAGAAAGAAUACGCAUGAGGACUAUGAUAUGAUAGAAGUUGAUUUUCAGAAAAUUAUUUUCAAUGUUUAAUUAUUAAAAAUAUUGUUUAUAUUUUUUAAUUAUAAGGUGGAAAAUGAAUUUGCACUAACAGCGAAAAUUAUUUCCUUAGUAACAUUUUUAACUUUUAAAUUCAUAUUAUUUGUUCCAAGUAUUAGACAUUAUUAGUAUUUUUUUUUCAAAGAUUUCAGUAGAAAAAUCUCGANNNNNNNNNNNNNNNNNNNNNNNNNNNNNACCUUUCUUCUGGAAAAUAUUUUAAAUUAAUUUAUUAACUCACAAGCCAAACACACACAAAAAAAAAUGGCCAAGUCCUAUGAUCUAAUGAUAUUAAUGGAUCUACCAAAAUAUAUAGUAUUGGUUUAAUUGUCAUUACUCACCAUUUUAAUCCUCAUGAACUAAACAAUACUGUAUAAUAUUACCGAUUAGUGUUGAUGUGAAGAGAAUUGUGCCGCCUUCUCCCAAACUGCCUCCCUCCCAGGGUGUCUUAAGCAUAUUCGUGGCAUAAGGUAAAAAUCAAUUGAAGGCCUUAAAAUUUUAAGAAAAAAAUAACUUUCUUUUAAUGAACUCUAUUUUCAAAAUUAUAUAAUCGAUUUUUUUAAUUAUUAUUUUUUAAGUAAUAAUAAAUUCAAUGCAUUUAAUCUUUCUUGAGACAUAGUACUUUAGAUAUAUGAACUUCUAAUAAUAAUUCUUUCCUUUUAUAUAAAAAAUAUUUUUUUUAUAAAUAACAUUCAAUUCUUUUUAAAAAAAUUAUUUAUGUUAUUGUAAAAAAUUAGGCCCCUCAAAUUUGGAGGCCUAAGGCGGUCGCCUAUUUUUUUACAAGGUAGGGCCACCCCUGCCUCCCCAUGAUUUUGCUAUUUGCAUUUUGUUUGUUCUAUUUAGUUAUAAUAAAGAAAAAUUGAUGAUAUAAUCUUUUGUUGAGAUUAUAAUUAAACAAUAAGAGUGUGCUUUUUCUUACCGCUUAAACUUUUAGAUAAGAUAAUCAUAUAUUUUAAUAAAAUAUCAGUACUACCCCUUCAUCAUCAGAAAACAUAGAAAUCCUGCGUAUAUGUAAUAAAAAGAAAACAUCAGAUGAAACAAGCAAGCAAAUUAAAUAAUUGUCUGCUGGAGAAUUUGAAUAUAUAGUACAAAUUAAAUAAAUCAGUUACUUGUUACAGUUGUAGGUUUUAUCAGUAGGAGGCAUGGUAUAAGAAAUGCCACACUUGUUAGGGAGUCCAGCUACGCGAGAGUGAAUGUCUUCAUUAUCAAGAGUCCAGAAUAUUUUCUUAAAGCAGUAACAGAGAACAAUUCUAUCUACUCUUGAUUUUGCAAGUUUGGAUAGGAUAUC